CCUACGGGCGGCAGCAGUGAGGAAUAUUGGUCAAUGGUCGAAAGACUGAACCAGCCAAGCCGCGUGAGGGAUGAAGGUUCUGAGUAUCGUAAACCUCUUUUGUAAGGGAGCAAAGACAGGGACGUGUCCCCGGAUGAGUGUACCUGAAGAAUAAGCAUCGGCUAACUCCGGGCCAGCAGCCGCGGUAAUACGGAGGAUGCAAGCGUUAUCCGGAUUUAAUGGGGUUAAAGGGUGCGUAGGCGGGUUGUUAAGGCAGAGGUCAAAAACCGGUGCUCAACCCCGGGACUGCGGUUGAAACUGGUAGUCUAGAGUGUGAGAGAGGUAGGCGGAAUGCGUGGUGUAGCGGUGAAAUGCAUAGAGAUCGCGCAGAACGCCGAUUGCGAAGGCAGCAUGCCGGACCAUCACUGACGUUGAGGCACGAAAGCGUGGGUAGCGAACAGGAUUAGAUACCCGGGUAGUC
rnacentral:rRNA from 1 species